ACUCAGAAUGUUCUAUUUGCCUCGGCCUUGGUUUCCAUUGACUGGCAGCAUGAGUCAAAGAACUGAAGAAGAUAAAAGAAUUAAGCGAAUGCUUACAGCCAACCGCCAAUUCAUGACAAAUUUACUGACCUCCUCAAAGAAGACGUCGAGUUCCUUCAACUCUGUACUAAGAUCAGCCAGUGGAGAGCAAAUCAAUUUGAUCCUGGAUGUGCUUCAUUUAGUGGCUGUUGGGAAAAUACUAGUGAAAAAAACACACUUCGAAUUGCUUGUAAAAUCCAACAAAGCCCUGCAUUUUCAUGAACGUUUGAAUAAUUCAUCAAGCUUAAACGGUACACAUACAUACUCAUCGUAUUUUCAGUACUGAUUCAUCUUGAAUUGAUAUUUGAUUUCAUUUUUAGCACUGAAAGGCGCCUCCCUUUUGGAUAAAAGUCAAUUUUUAAGGGCAUUGAGAGUACAUUUGCCCAAGUUACUGCAUCGGGUUUUCUUUCGGUGGAAGUCCUACUUGUCAGCUGGUGAAGAAUAAUGGUUGACCGUCAGAUUCAAAUUAAUUCCGGAAGUGCCCCCCAGCAAAUUAGCGUUAGUCCUAAUUUUGGGAAAAUCAACCUGCCAGCCAGAAUAUACAUAACCGGACCGUCAAUGAGUGGAAAGAGCAAACUUGUGUUGGAUAUGCUUCAGCAUCGCAAUGAAGUAUUUCGAGGUUCUUUUUCUCGAGCUAUUUAUUGUGGCCCAUCUGCUCACGACUUCGAAUUUACAUCGCUUUUGGUUCAAGCCGUCCCUUCCAUUGAACGUCAUGAUGUAAAAAGAUUACUCUUGCGACAUAUCGUUAUUUUGGGCACAAUACCAGUUGGUGUGAUCCAUUUCAGCGGGUUGUGAGGCCACAAAAUUUGGACCUAUACGCAGAAAAAUUCAGUCAAAAGCUUUUGAUCUUAGACGACUUUGGAAAUGAUGCCAUGGAAAGAAAAGGUACAAACUUGAAAACUAAUUUAGCACGAAGAUAAAAAUGUAUUGUACUCUGCAUCAGAAUUCAAGGCAUUAUUCCAAAUGGGAUCACACCAUUACAACAUUUCAGUCAUUGUCGUUGUUAA